AUUGAACGCUGGCGGCAGGCUUAACACAUGCAAGUCGAGCGGGCGAGGUUGCUUCGGUAACUGAGCUAGCGGCGGACGGGUGAGUAAUGCUUAGGAAUCUGCCUAUUAGGGGGGGACAACAUUCCGAAAGGAAUGCUAAUACCGCAUACGCCCUACGGGGGAAAGAAGGGGAUCUUCGGACCUGGCGCUAAUAGAUGAGCCUAAGUCAGAUUAGCUAGUUGGUGGGGUAAAGGCCUACCAAGGCGACGAUCUGUAGCGGGUCUGAGAGGAUGAUCCGCCACACUGGGACUGAGACACGGCCCAGACUCCUACGGGAAGCAGCAGUGGGGAAUAUUGGACAAUGGGCGCAAGCCUGAUCCAGCCAUGCCGCGUGUGUGGAGAAGGCCUUUUGGUUGUAAAGCACUUUAAGCGAGGAGGAGGCUACCGAGAUUAAUACUCUUGGAUAGUGGACGUUACUCGCAGAAUAAGCACCGGCUAACUCUGUGCCAGCCGCCGCCGUAAGAC
rnacentral:rRNA from 1 species